CAGACAGACGACGGCCAACGCAUUCAUGGUGGAGGGAAAGAUUGGUGUUGAUCCUGUUUGUAUGCAAAUCCUUAGAUGGAUGAAAUUCCUUUGCAUCUAAGUAAGUGGUAUGAAAGGGACGCGGAGUUCGUGAACUCGAGCACACAGGAGCUCGAUAUCUGUCCCGUUCACUACUGCGUCGUGAUUCGCUGCAUUCAAUGCCCGGGACAGGCCUGUGGUCGACCAGGAAUUGGGAAAGUCAGAUAUACGUACAGGUGCAGACCUGAAAGGUGGGCCAUGGCUCUGACGGACGUUAGGACGCCGUCCACUGAUCGGCGGACAGCCGUGGCCCAGGACGUCGGCGCCGUCCGAGUCUGUGGUUCAGAACGGUCUCAGAUAUGUGCGGCGGAGUGUCUGCAUAGGCACACCAGGUGGAGAUCAACCACAAUCAUCUGAGCAACCCAUAGAGCAGUAGAUUGUCCCCCAGAGUACCGGGGUGGACGUUUAGGUCAGCUAUGCAUUUUUGUGUGGUUCAGAAUUAUAUGAUGACACGCAUAAGUCUGCGGUUACACUUUGGUACAAAUGCAGAGUCAGGAUUGGGGCUGAAGCAGGCAGAGCGCCAUGCCAAAAUAGGAUUUCAGCAAUGGAGAAAUCAAUCCGGGGGUUUGCCGAACAUCCUGGUGACAAUGUCAUUGUGCCAAAAUUAGGGACUAGCUUCCACACACUGGGUGAAGCUUACGAUUUUUACAAUCUGUAGUCAUGGGAGAAAGGUUUUGGCAUCUCAAAUUUCUUCCUUUGCAAACAGACGCUCGAUGCAAUAAGUGAGUCAUUGAUCGACCUCCCAAUGAUGGAAGUAGCACUGUGUUUGGUGAGAGGUGGGAUGAACUGUCUGGAAGAAAAUUAUGUUACCCUUACAAACUAUGGACAAGGGGUGUCAUCCGGUACCCUCUCAACCUUCAGUCUCUGAACUUAUAUUACAGUUUUUCACUUCGGCGUCCACACAAGAGCUAUCUAGGAACUUGUGCACGAGAAUCCUAUGUUUGUAAGGAUAACAGGGGUGGUGCUGAAGGAACAGCUUGGGGGUGACACGAUGAUUGACCAUGAGCUGAUGUCUGUCAUUAUCCAUAGGUGUUGCCAGGCUGA